rnacentral:rRNA from 1 species
UACGUAGGGUGCAAGCGUUAUCCGGAAUUAUUGGGCGUAAAGCGUCCGUAGGUGGUUUUACAAGUCAGCUGUUAAAGCGUGAGGCUUAACCACUGACAGGCGGUGGAAACUGAAUAGCUAGAGUGUGGUAGGGGUAGAGGGAAUUCCCGGUGUAGCGGUGAAAUGCGUAGAGAUUGGGAAGAACACCGGUGGCGAAAGCGCUCUGCUGGACCACAACUGACACUCACAGGACGAAAGCUAGGGGAGCGAAAGGG